CUCUCUGAGGCUCCCUCUAGAUAUCCUCAGGAACCGCCAGUGCGCCUGAAAGGGAAAAGGGUCCCUGGUGAAAACAUUCCAAGGAGGGCACCGUCUCCAACCGUACAUCCCCACCACCAUCACCAUCAUUCUGGAGCUGGUAUAGUAGAUGGGCCAGACAGCCCAAUGUGGGUCAGAGAUAUGGCUUCAAAAAAGAAAAAGGGACUGUUAUCAAAAGGAAAGAAACUGCUGAGGAAGCUUGGUGGAGUGAAGUGAUUCUUGUGGAUUCGGAAUAAUCCUGCACUUCCACUGUCUUAUUUCCACAUGAUGUCAUAGCUGCCCUUUACAUCCUUGCCUUAGAUAUGCACAAUGAUCUUAUUUUUUAAAACCCACUCAGUAAGAGAAGGUAUACGUUGUAUGUGCUGUCUGUAUUCAUUAACCUUCUCACCACCAAAAAGCCAUUAGGUUAAAGCUGUGAAAGUCUUGUGUUUGCUUACCUGGGUCAGUGUCCAGUGUUGCCCUUUCUUUUUACCUUCCCCCCCCACUCUGGAACUAUGGCUCUACGUUUCCAUCUCACAGUGAACAUUGUCUGAGCAACAAAGUGGCAUUCAACUGAAGAGGAAAACAAUUAGCAAACCCCCCUCUCUUUGCCACCUGAUGCAUUUCAUACCACAUACAUGAAAAUGCAUGCAUUUCCUUCAAAAUGUAUACUUGAUAUCAGUUUUUGUGUCUGAAACUGGUUAAAAUUGGUAUAUGUUCUUGAUAAAAUAAUGGCAUGCAAGAAAACAAGCCAGUGCAAGAAAUCAUACUUUAAUGUGUUCACUGAUAGAGUUUUACCUCCCCAUGAAAUUGCAGUUGAUGGGUUGUUUUAAGAGCAACACAGUUUUGUAUUACAACAAAAACAAUAAUUGGCUGAUUAAUGUGUUUUCACAUGCUGGCCACGACUGACCUUUAGACCUUACCAGGUAUGGCUAUGGAAGUAUGCUAAUAAAUAUUAACCAGCCAAUUAAACAGAUUUCCUACAUGCCUUUAAUUUAAUAUAAUGACAUUUAACUGAUGUUUCUCUUUUGUACAUUGGAUCAUUUGUAAAUUCUUGGUUUUACUGUUUUUAUACAUUAUUUACAGAUUGCCUUCCUUUUUGUAAAAUGUCCUUCCAAUGAAAUGAUGCUACUCCCUCCCCAGGUUGUGACUACAACAGUCAGACUACAGUGUAAAGUAUUGUAAAUUAUUGCUGUAUUCACAUGCUAUCCUUACUGAAGAGCUAACCAGCCUUUAAUAUGUUUGUGGUAACAGAUGUGGGUGCAUGCAUGUGUAAAUUUAUUCAUGUGUAAAAAGUUUUUAUAAAUAAAUAAUUCAAUUUUUUGCAGAA